rnacentral:rRNA from 1 species
GCUAAUGGUGGGUGAUGAGGUGAGGGAAGGAAGAGGGUGUGUGGGUUAAAAGGAAUGAGAGGGACUAAAGCGAGUGUAGGUGGGUCAUGAAGGAACAUGUGAAAGUCCGGUGCUGAAACGGGGAACUGUAUGUGAUACUUGUGGGGCUAAAAGAUGUGAGAGGGAAGUAGAAUUCCAGGUGUAGCGGUGAAAUGCGUAGAGAUCUGGAGGAAUACCGAUGGCGAAGGCAGCUUCCUGGCAUAAUAUUGACACUGAGAUUCGAAAGCGUGGGUAGCAAACAGGAUUAGAUACCCAGUAGUC